rfam:Schistosoma haematobium scaffold137_14, whole genome shotgun sequence.
AGCCUACUGAAUCCGUGCUGAGAUUUCGUCAGACACCAACCCAUUAGGGCUGAUCAAACUUCCAAGAUAACUAAAGUU